UGGCGGACGGGUGAAUAAUGUCUGGGAAACUGCCUGAUGGAGGGGGAUAACUACUGGAAACGGUAGCUAAUACCGCAUAACGUCGCAAGACCAAAGAGGGGGACCUUCGGGCCUCUUGCCAUCGGAUGUGCCCAGAUGGGAUUAGCUAGUAGGUGGGGUAACGGCUCACCUAGGCGACGAUCCCUAGCUGGUCUGAGAGGAUGACCAGCCACACUGGAACUGAGACACGGUCCAGACUCCUACGGGAGGCAGCAUG
rnacentral:rRNA from 1 species